rnacentral:tRNA from 1 species
GGUGGCUCAGUGGUAGAGCACUUGCCUUGCAUGCAUGAGGCAAGGUUCAAUUCCUCAGCACCA